GGAUUUGGAGGGUGCUGGAAUUUGCUGUGCCUUCUAAAUAACAGCGAGUGGACCAAUUAAAAUAACUAGGAAGAGGGGAGAAACAUGCGAGAAGAAGGAGUGUGCAAGAGCACAGGGACUUUACCUGAAAAGGCAACAGAUUGUUACCAUUAUCGGUCCGGAAAGCGUUAUCCUCCAUCCAGGACUUGGAGGUCUCUACGGGAGCCUGAGAAAUUCUCUGCAGAGUGGAGAAAUGCUUCUGCUUGGAUUUGAGAUCCUGUCACUGCUGUUGCUAACCCAACUCUACUGAACUUGACUGCUGGUGUAUCUCGAAUGGAUUGAGCUGCCACUGCCUGCUAACCUAUGAACUGAUCUGCCGAUUUCCAGACAAUGCAGAUGGGGUCACUACAAAGAAUCUUUCUAAACAGGUCCACUUCCCCUCCCAACCCCCCACACCCCUGUAUUCUUUCUUUUCCACUACCUCUGGUGGGUGGUGGGCUACAAGGGAGGUUUAAGAACCAUAAUUAAAAAUAAGGUUUGGGGCUGGAGAGAUGGCUCAGCGGUUAAGAGCACUGACUGCUCUUCCAAAGGUCCUGAGUUCAAAUCCCAGCAACCACAUGGUGGCUUACAACCAUCUGUAAUGAGAUCUGAUGCCCUCUUCUGGUAUGUCUGAAGACAGCUACAGUGUACUUACAUAUAACAAUAAAUAAGUCUUAAAAAUGUUUAAAAAAAUAAGGUUUGAAAAAAUUAAAGUUAUACUUUCUUCUACAAAUUUUAUACUUUUGGCUCUAACUUUUGGUUUUUUUUAAUCAAUUUUUAGUUAAUUUUUGUUGUAAUGUGAGGUAAGAGUCCAACACCAUUCAUUUGCAUGGACUGCCUAGCUGAAAUGGAAAUAUAUCCAUUCUGCCUAUUAGAUUAUUCUGGUGCCCUUGUUGAAAAUAACCUGACCAUCGGAAUGUCAGGACUUAAUUCCAGACUUCCUGGUCCACUAAUCAAAACACCUUACAACACUAUUAUACCAUCUUCAUAUUGUGGUAUUUUAAUGAGCUUUAAAAUCAGGAAAUCGACACCAAUAAGAAGGCCCAGCAGCUAAAGGCAAUCCCUGCCAACUUUAAUAACCUGAGUUCAGGAUCUGCAGGACCCACAUCAUCAAAGGAGAGAACCAACUUGUAAAAGCGACUCUCUGGGGUCCAAACACCUGUCAUGGCACGCGCACACACACACACACACACACACACACACACACACACACUGACACACUCGCGCACACAAUCUUUGAUGAACUCUUUCCAUUUACUGGAUGUCUAAUGGCUUAGUUUUCAGAUGUUAUUCACUGCUUUUGUUAAGCUGAUGCCUUUGUGUUGUAUUUUCAUUUACCAUCUUCUUUGUAUGUACAUUUGGCAUGUGAGUGAGUGAGUAUGGAUGCAUGCAUGCCGAGGUGCACAUACCGAGGCAGUUACUUCUCUCCUCGCACCCUGGGACCUAGGAUUGGAAAGGAGUCCCUCCAGUGCUUCUACCCACUGAGCCAUCUUGCCAGCCCAAUGUCACUGUUCUCACGUAGCCCAACUAACCCUGAACUCACUAUAUAGCUGAGGCUAACUUUGAACUUCUAAUCCUCCUGCCUCAACUCCCCAGUGCUGUGACUAGUAGCAUCCACUGCCACACCCAGGUUUAUGUGGUGAUAGGGAUUAAAGCUAGGGUACUGUGCAUGUUUAGAAAGUAUUUUACACGCAGAGCUGUAUUCCCAUUCUUAGUGUGUUCCUUUUGAUGUUUUUAUAAAUACAACUACUUUUUCUUACUUUUAUUCCUGUAUUGGUCACUGCUAAUAUACAGAUAUACAAUAGAUCUUCCAUUUUGAUCUUAUAACUUGCAAUCUUGUUAAACUUGCAUUUUGGUUCUAAUAUGUGUUUUGUGCAAUUCCUUGAGAUUUUUUUCAUUAAAGUUUUCAUAGUGU
ensembl:lincRNA A330032B11Rik RIKEN cDNA A330032B11 gene